AGCAGCCGCGGUAAUUCCAGCUCCAAUAGCGUAUAUUAAAGUUGUUGCAGUUAAAAAAGCUCGUAGUUGAAUUUCGGGAUCAAUAUAUUGGUCGUGCCAUUGGUACGUACUGGUAUCAUUGGUUUCUCCUUUCUGACGAACCAUGAUGUCAUUAAUUUGGUGUUAUGGGAAGUUAGGACUGUUACUUUGAAAAAAUUAGAGUGUUUAAAGCAGGCUUUAGCUUGAAUACAUUAGCAUGGAAUAAUGAAAUAGGACGUUCGAACCUAUUUUGUUGGUUUCUAGGAUCAACGUAAUGAUUAAUAGGGAUAGUUGGGGGCAUUAGUAUUCAAUUGUCAGAGGUGAAAUUCUUGGAUUUAUUGAAGACUAACUACUGCGAAAGCAUUUGCCAAGGAUGUUUUCAUUAAUCAAGAACGAAAGUUAGGGGGAUCGAAGACGAUCAGAUACCGUCGUAGUCUUAACCAUAAACUAUGCCGACUAGGGAUCGGAUGAUGUUAAUUUUUUUAAUGACUCAUUCGGCGCC
rnacentral:rRNA from 1 species